rnacentral:rRNA from 1 species
UAUCUCUGUAGAGUCUGCAUAUCAAUAAGCGGAGGAAAAGAAACUAACUAAGGAUUCCCUCAGUAACGGCGAGUGAAGCGGGAAGAGCUCAAAUUUGAAAUCUUCAAGGUUCUACCUUGACGAAUUGUAGUUUAAAGAAGUGUUUUCUGUUGAAGUUUUGGUAAAAGUUCUUUGGAAUAGGACAUCAUAGAGGGUGAGAAUCCCGUAUUUGACCAUUAGUUUUCCAGCUGUGUGAUACACUUUCAAAGAGUCGGAUUGUUUGGGAAUGCAGUCCAAAAUGGGUGGUAAAUUUCAUCUAAAGCUAAAUACUGGCGAGAGACCGAUAGCGAACGAGUACCGUGAGGGAAAGAUGAAAGAACUUUGAAAAGAGAGUUAAACAGUACGUGAAAUUGUCAAAAGGGAAGCGUUUGACACCAGUGUUGUUUUCUCGAAAAUCAAUUAAAAAAGGCAGGAUUUUGUGUUGUAUUGACUUUAUCAGCUUUCUGCACUCUUUUCUUGUCUUUUUUAAUGCACUUUUCGUUUAACAAGUCAACAUCAAUUUCUUUUGUUGUAAAAGGGUCAUUGGAAGGUGGCUUUCUUUUCGGAGAAAGUGUUUAUAGCCUUUGGCCUCUGCAAUCGGAGAGAUUGAGGUCUGCAGCGUAGAUCCUUCGGGGUUAGAUACAUUUGUGCUAAGUUAUAGCCUUUCAUAGACAACUUGUUGACUAUGAUCAGUCAUGUAGCUUACUCGCUUAUGCUAUUUUACCUACGCUUAGGAUGUUGACGAUCAGCUGAGCGCG